UGGAUGGGCUUUGUGGCUCUUAAAAAUAACUAAAACAAAGCUGUCUGACACAAUUUGAGCUUGCUAUAGCAAGGAAGCCUAACCUAUUCCGGUGUUCUCUCCUCUAUGAGACAAGCCGUUAUAUAGGCUUAAACAGU
rnacentral:snoRNA from 1 species